rnacentral:lncRNA from 10 species
GGCAGAGGCUGCAAUCUCGGCACUUUGGGAGGCCAAGGCAGGCGGUUGGGAGGUGGAGGUUGUAGCGAGCCGAGAUCACGGCACUGCACUCCAGCCUGGGCACCAUUGAGCACUGAGUGAACGAGACUCCGUCUGCAAUCCCAGCACCUCGGGAGGCCGAGGCUGGUGGAUCACUAGCGGUUAGGAGCUGGAGACCGGCCCGGCCAACACAGCGAAACCCCGUCUCCACCAAAAAAAUACGAAAACCAGUCAGGCGUGGCGGCGCGCGCCUGCAAUCACAGGCACUCGGCAGGCUGAGGCAGGAGAAUGAGGCAGGGAGGUUGCAGUGAGCCAAGAUGGCAGCAGUACAGUCCAGCUUCGGCUCGGCAUCAGAGGGAGACCGUGGAAAGAGGGGGAGAGGGAGACUGUGGGGAGGGAGAGGGAGAGGGAGAGCCUGUUUCUAAUAAAUAUACAAAAUCAGCAAGGCAUGGUGGCACGCACCU